GAUGAACGCUGGCGGCGUGCCUAAUACAUGCAAGUCGAGCGAACAGACGAGGAGCUUGCUCCUCUGACGUUAGCGGCGGACGGGUGAGUAACACGUGGAUAACCUACCUAUAAGACUGGGAUAACUUCGGGAAACCGGCGCUAAUACCGGAUAAUAUAUUGAACCGCAUGGUUCAAUAGUGAAAGACGGUUUUGCUGUCACUACUAGAUGGUUCCGCGCCGCAUUAGCUGGUUGGUGAGGUAACGGCUUACCAAGGCAACGAUGCGUAGCCGACGUGCGAGGGGGAUCGGCCGCCCUGGAGCGGGACCAGGGUCAAGAGGCCUGAGGGAGGCAGCAGACGGCAAUGUUCCGCAGUGGGCGGGAGCCUGACGGAGUGACGCCGCGUGAGUGAUGGCGAUGUCGGGAGCGUAAAACUGGGUUAUUAGUGAAGAACAGAUGUGUCCGUAACUGUGCACGUCUUGACGGUACUUAGUCAGAAAGCCACGGCUAACUACGUG
rnacentral:rRNA from 1 species